rnacentral:rRNA from 1 species
GACGGAGGAUGCAAGUGUUAUCCGGAAUCACUGGGCGUAAAGCGUCUGUAGGUGGUUCACUAAGUCAACUGUUAAAUCUUGAGGCUCAACUUCAAAAUCGCAGUCGAAACUAUUGGACUCGAGUAUAGUAGGGGUAAAGGGAAUUUCCAGUGGAGCGGUGAAAUGCGUAGAGAUUGGAAAGAACACCAAUGGCGAAAGCGCUUUAUUGGGCUAUUACUGACACUGAGAGACGAAAGCUAGGGUAGCAAAUGGG